CUGUUGCCACCUCAGCACCAUCUCAGCGCCACCUCAGCAGUAAAAUGCCAAAAUUUCUCCUCUUUUAUUGAAUUGCAAAAAUCCCAUUUUCUACAAAUUAAAAAUCUUAUUGCAUAUUGAAAAAUCUCAACGAAGCCCGUUUACAUCCUUUACUUAUGGCCUAUUAAAAGCCCAUAUACAUCCUUCAUUAAUGGGCAUACAAUAUAAAGAAGUCCAAUAACUUUAUUGAUUAAUUGAUCCAUCCUAGAAUUUUACACAAACCCUAUUUCUUUGCCGUUGUAACUAUGUCAUGCUUGUUCUUCUUCUUAACCCUUGUCCUUCCAUCCUCUUAUUAAUUUCCAUGUAACGUUUUCUUUCAUUCUAUAAAAAUUUAAAUGCCCCAGUUCUCUAUUGUAUUUUAAUGCUCCACUUCUCUAUUCUAUUGUAUUUCUUUCUCAUUCGAUGCAUUGUCCAUUACUAUAUCCUUUAAAGUCUCCUAAUUCACACAGUUAUAUCUAUGAUCCAACUUCUCAAAACCUCAAAUCACCCACAUCCUUUAUUUGUGUCGUUUUUAAAUUUCGUUACACAGUAAUCAAACAUCGGAAAAGAGGUAACCUCACUUCACUUCCUCUCUGACCGUCAGCUUCAUCCAUUCACAUCCAUACUGAAAAGACCCGACCCGUUUUUUUUUUUUAAUUCAUUAAUUAAUAGUCCCAUACCUACUAAUUAACCUAACCGAAUUAACCCAACAAUAAAUCAUCAUGCACAGCGGAAACAUGUUAAACCAACAUUAAUUAAUCAUAAUAUUAAUUAAUCAAUCAUUCAAUAACCACAAUUUACACCAGCAACCUAGCAUGCCUCUAAACCAGGUUCCAACAACAAUUAACAUAUUCAUAAACAUAACACCCGAGACCCUAGAUCAUCCUCCUCUCCUCGCCAUGAUUCCACAGAUCACACUUUACCUGCACCACAAAUACAAUGAGAUGCGUGAGUAUUAUCACAAAUACUCAGUGAAGCGAUCCUCCCAUCCACUGGCUAUACACACAAGCACUUAAGAUCACAUCCAUACAACAACAAUGUCACAAACAGCCAAAACAGGCAAUCAAAAGCACAACUAUCGCUCACAGAAACUGGUGUCGGUCGACACCACCACACUGGUGUCGGU
rnacentral:lncRNA from 1 species